rfam:Felis catus isolate Cinnamon breed Abyssinian chromosome A2, whole genome shotgun sequence.
GCCUGGGUGGCUCAGUCGGUUAAGCGUCUGACUUCGGCUCAGGUCAUGAUCUCACGGUCUGUGGGUUCGAGCCCCGUGUCGGGCU